UACGUAGGGGGCAAGCGUUGUCCGGAAUCAUUGGGCGUAAAGCGCGUGUAGGCGGCUCGAUAAGUCUGCUGUGGAAGUCCAAGGCUCAACCUUGGGAUGCCGGUGGAUACUGUCGAGCUAGAGUCCGGAAGGGGCGAGUGGAAUUCCUGGUGUAGCGGUGAAAUGCGUAGAUAUCAUGAGGAAGACCAGUGGCGAAGGCGGGUCUCUGGACAGUUCCUGACACUGAGGCACGAAGGCCAGGGGAGCAAACGGG
rnacentral:rRNA from 1 species